rnacentral:rRNA from 1 species
GGGACGAGCGCUUUUAUUAGACCAAGACCAAUCGGACUUCGGUCCGUAUGCCACGGCGACUCUGGAUAACUUUGGGCUGAUCGCACGAUCUAGCAUCGGCGAUAUUUCUUUCAAGUGUCUGACUUAUCAACUUUCGAUGGUAGUCUAUGCGCCUACCAUGGUCGUAACGGGUAACGGGGAAUCAGGGUUCGAUUCCGUCUAACCAUAAACGAUGCUGACCAGCGAUCCGCCUGAGUUUCUCAAUUGACUCGGCGGGCAGCUUCCGGGAAACCAAAGUUUNUGAGUUCCGGGGGAAGUAUGGUUGCAAAGCUGAAACUUAAAGGAAUUGACGGAAGGGCACCACCAGGAGUGGAGCCUGCGGCUUAAUUUGACUCAACACGGGAAAACUUACCCGGCCCGGACACCGGAAGGAUUGACAGAUUAAGAGCUCUUUCUUGAUUCGGUGGGUGGUGGUGCAUGGCCGUGCCCUUAGAUGUCCGGGGCCGCACGCGCGCUACACUGAAGGAAUCAGCGUGUGCUUACCCCUGUCCGGCAGGAUUGGGUAACCCGUUGAACCUCCUUCGUGAUAGGGAUAGGGGCUUGUAAUUAUUCCCCUUGAACGAGGAAUUCCCAGUAAGCGCGAGUCAUAAGCUCGCGUUGAUUACGUCCCUGCCCUUUGUACACACCGCCCGUCGCUACUACCGAUUGAAUGAUUUAGUGAGGUCUUCGGACUGGUGCUCGGAGCGGCCCUCGGGCCGCGCCGGUGUACCGGAAAGAUGACCAAACUUGAUCAUUUAGAGGAAGUAAAAGUCGUAACAAGGUUUCC